UACGAAGGGUGCAAGCGUUACUCGGAAUUACUGGGCGUAAAGCGUGCGUAGGUGGUUUGUUAAGUCUGUCGUGAAAUCCCCGGGCUCAACCUGGGAAUGGCGAUGGAUACUGGCAAGCUAGAGUGAGGUAGAGGAGAGUGGAAUUCCCGGUGUAGCAGUGAAAUGCGUAGAGAUCGGGAGGAACAUCAGUUGCGAAGGCGGCUCUCUGGACCAUCACUGACACUGAGGCACGAAAGCUUGGGGAGCAACCAGU
rnacentral:rRNA from 1 species